GACGUAGGGGGCUAGCGUUGUUCGGAAUUACUGGGCGUAAAGCGUGUGUAGGUGGUUGUCCAAGUUGGAUGUGAAAGCCUUGAGCUCAACUCAAGAAAUGCAUUCAGGACUGGAUGGCUAGAGGACCGGAGAGGAUAGUGGAAUUCCCAGUGUAGUGGUGAAAUACGUAGAGAUUGGGAAGAACACCAGUGGCGAAGGCGGCUAUCUGGACGGUUUCUGACACUAAGACUCGAAAGCGUGGGGAGCAAACAGG
rnacentral:rRNA from 1 species